rnacentral:rRNA from 1 species
AUGCAAUAUACACACUACACCCCCGGACGCAUGCCAACCAACAGCGCCGGGUGCACCCCGGAGACCUUGCAGAUCAUCUCCAUCAAGCUCGCGGAAAUAGCUGGUCGCCUUCAGUGGCCAUUGUCUGUGUAUGGCGUGGUUGCCGCCCGCGACAUCGUGGAUCACAACUGCAACAGUCUCUUCUCGUGCGUUAGGAGUCGGGCCCAGGAGCUCACACAAGAUGAUCCUUUUUUGCGGUUGACUGGCCCGACCCGUGCAAUUGUGUGUUCGGACACGGUCGAACUUGAAAUCCAACUAAAAGUGAAAGGUACAACACAGUCUCAAGAUGAAGCAUUGAUCAGAUGUGCACGUGUCUGCACUGGAGGAUAUGGUCAUGGUGUAUCUACAAUUUGCUAUAAGAACUCUCUCUGCACACUUGAGUUAUGUUUGCAGCGAGUUGCUCAAACGGUCCAGGCCACUAUCUUGGGCAUCCAAGUUGUGAAAGGGUCAUGGCCUUUUGAAUAUGGCGCACGAGUUGCUUGCUCCUCGCUAUCAGGUGAAAUUGUGUGCACUGAUGCUGGACUCGCUCGCAUAAUUAAUCCCUCGUCUAGCCAAAUUUUGUUGCUCGAUUCAAAAGAUGGAGCAAAACUGAAAGGUUUGAUGGCCACCUGCAUGUGUGGAGGCAAGUUGUCUCUGUAG